GUACGGAUUCUGGGCGUAAGCGUGCGUAGGCGGUUAUUAAGUCAGAUGUGAAAGCCCCGGGCUUAACCUGGGAACUGCAUUUGAUACUGGGUAACUAGAGUUUAAUAGAGGAGAGUGGAAUUUCAGGUGUAGCGGUGAAAUGCGUAGAGAUCUGAAGGAACACCAGUGGCGAAGGCGACUCUCUGGAUUAAAACUGACGCUGAGGUACGAAAGCGUGGGUAGCAAACAGGAUUAGAUACCCUGGUAGUCCACGCCGUAAACGAUGUCAACUAGCCGUUGGGCCUUUAUACAGGUUUAGUGGCGCAGCUAACGCAUUAAGUUGACCGCCUGGGGAGUACGGCCGCAAGGUUAAAACUCAAAUGAAUUGACGGGGGCCCGCACAAGCGGUGGAGCAUGUGGUUUAAUUCGAUGCAACGCGAAGAACCUUACCUACCCUUGACAUCCAUAGAAUCA
rnacentral:rRNA from 1 species